rnacentral:rRNA from 1 species
GGAUCAGUGGCGAACGGGUGAGUAACACGUGGGCAAUCUGCCCUGCACUCUGGGACAAGCCCUGGAAACGGGGUCUAAUACCGGAUAUUACCUUCCCCUGCAUGGGGGUUGGUGGAAAGCUCCGGCGGUGCAGGAUGAGCCCGCGGCCUAUCAGCUUGUUGGUGGGGUAAUGGCCUACCAAGGCGACGACGGGUAGCCGGCCUGAGAGGGCGACCGGCCACACUGGGACUGAGACACGGCCCAGACUCCUACGGGAGGCAGCAGUGGGGAAUAUUGCACAAUGGGCGAAAGCCUGAUGCAGCGACGCCGCGUGAGGGAUGACGGCCUUCGGGUUGUAAACCUCUUUCAGCAGGGAAGAAGCGAAAGUGACGGUACCUGCAGAAGAAGCACCGGCUAACUACGUGCCAGCAGCCGCGGUAAUACGUAGGGUGCGAGCGUUGUCCGGAAUUAUUGGGCGUAAAGAGCUCGUAGGCGGCUUGUCACGUCGGUUGUGAAAGCCCGGGGCUUAACCCCGGGUCUG